CGACGACAAGAUAAUGGAAGAGAGCAAGGACGAGAGGGGGUCAGGAUUGACACUAACCAACAAGCGAUCUCAGGUCGCACCCAGGUGGACAAAGGAUUAUGACUUAAGCGGACCCAAAGCGUGAUUUCGAAUAAUGGAUUGGGUUAACACCAAUACCAACUACCCAAGGGGUGGUUUCCUAAGUUUUUUUCCACCGCCUCACAUUUUGUAAAAUCCCCAUUGACAUAACUGACUUAUGAAGCUAUAUAUAGCCAUACAUGUAACCUACUUUAGUAAGAAAUAUUUACAUGCAAUUUCACCGCUUUCAUCCUAAAUUUACCGCCUCCAUCCUCACAUUCCACAACCCAUCUUCCUAACGCAUCCGACCACCGGCCGAGCUUCCGUCCAUCGUCGCUCAACCCUCCGUUCGUCGUAGCAUCUUCGCCACAGCUCCCUCGACCUUCCACGAACCUUCCUCUGAAGAGCCAGCCACCACCGGUCUCUCCAACGAGGAGACCCAGCCGCCGUCGAUCUGAUGCCCUGCAACUCCGGCCAUUGUCGAGCACGCUCCAUCAGCCCGACUGUCGUCGAUUCUUCACCCCAGUAACUUAGAAUCAUCAACGAACUAAUUCCCUACUCUUGCCGGUGUCUUUCUCGAGGAGAUCCGUCCAGAAGUUCCAAACAUCAACUCCAGCCAGCAACUCCUGCCAACUUUCUGUCGCCGAUCUACAACUCUGGCGAACCACGAACGACCGCCGAUCAACCUGUAAGUGAUUAGGGUUGUAUCAUUGGUGCUUUCAAAAAAUUUGAACUCAUUACAAGAUGUCUUCUUCUUCAUCGAUCAAUUUAUCUACCAACGCCGAUUUCUUGCGAUUACAAAAUCUUCAAUUAUCGCAAGUAUCUGAAAUGAAUGAGAUGAGAACGAUGAUGAACUAUAACUUUCUGAAAAUUAGCAGACAAAUUUCUAAAAUUUCAAAGAACCACAAACAAAAGCCUCCGGAUGAUGUUAACAAAGGCGUUGUGGGAGCUAAUUACCCAAAUCCUCUACCGAAGCAUCCAUUCUAUCAGUCGAUGGUCGACCUUGAUAACCUGAUCUAUGCUUCAUCUUUGCUUGAGGAUGAAAACUAUACACCUGCUAAAUAUCUGAAAGUGGACAUGCCAAGAUUUGACGGCACAGACGCAGAACAUUGGCUCUUUCAUAAAGUUCCUGAAGAUCAAAAACUGUUAAUUGUUUCUUUUCACUUAAUUGGAUGGGAUUGCUCGAAGUUGGUUCGCAUGGCUCAAGGCAAGUAAUUUAUUAUCUACAUGGAAAAUUUUUGCUGACGCCGUACUAAAAAAAUUCGCAAAUCGACAUUACUCCCUACCUGGUGGGAAAUUGAGCAAGUUAUGUCAAGAGGGUUCUGUUUUUGAUUAUCAAACCCAAUUUGAAGAAAUGUGCACUCGCGUGUUAGGACUGCCCGAGAGCUUUAUUCUAGAAAUGUAUAUUUCAGGUCUUUGGAAGGAUAUACAAACCGAAGUUCUGCGAGAUAGACCAGAAACUAUCCAAGAAGCGUUUGAAUUAUCACUAGUUGUAGAAGGACAAAGACUGGAUUUUCGCAGACAAUAUUCUGCACCAACCAUCAGAACUUACACUGCUCCCUCUAAAGUUGAUUUCCAAUCCACUCCAAAUAAAUUACCCCUUACUGAAGUAUCUAAAGUUAACCCCACAAGAUUACCAGUUUUCAAGAGGCUAUCACCUGCAGAAAGAAAAGAACGGGCUUGCAAAGGAUUAUGUUUCAAUUGCGAUGACAAGUUCUCGUCCGGGCAUAAAUGCCAAGGAAGAUUAUUUUGGUUAUCUGCUGAUAAUGAAACCUUGUGGGAAGUGGAGGAGAAUGGUGAAAAUGAAGAGUACGAGCCCAGUUCUGUAACCGUUCCGAAUGACGAAUCUGUACCUGUACGUCAUACCAACUGAGAUUAAUCUUCAUACCUUCGAAGGUCACAUAAGCGCCAAUACCAUUAGAUUGGAAGGAUUUAUCAAAUACCAGUCGAUAGUGUGUUAGUUGAUACGGGAUCCACUCACAACUUCAUGCAGGAAAAGGUAGCCAAAAUUCUAAAAUUCACUAUUCAUAUUAUUCAUCCUUUCAAAGUUUCUAUAGGAAGUGGCGAAGAUCUAGUAUGUGACAAAUUAUGCAAGGGAGUAGAAAUCAAAGUACAAGACACUUAUAUCAGAAUGGAUAUUUUCUUGCUACCUAUGGCUGGUGCUAAUAUGGUGAUAGGCAUAUAAGGUUUGAAGACUCUUGGACCUGUUACCUUCGACUUUGGUUCCUUACUGAUGAAAUUCAAAUGGGAGGGAGAGUCAGUUAUUUGGAAAGGAUCUCCUUGGAUUUCCAAAGAUCCUCUUACUGUGGGACAGCUAAAGUGGUUAAUAGCAUCCACUACCGAGGCCUACCUAUGUUAUCUACAAGAGCACAAGAACAUUGAAAGUCUGAAUUGUGAAAAUCCGGAACUCACCUCUAUUGUUCAAGAGUAUUGCGAUAUCUUUGAAGCUCCAAAAGGCAUGUCACCUUAGAGGUCGAGAGACCACUACAUCCAUCUGGAACCAGGGUCUAAACCAAUCAAUGUCAGGCCAUAUAGAUACCCUCAGUUUCAGAAAAAUGAAAUAGAAAAAUUGGUGUCAGAAAUGCUUCAACAGGGCAUUAUAAAACACAACUUCAGCCCAUACUCUUCUCCCGUUUUGCUUGUUAAGAAAAAAGAUGGUGGCUACCGCCUACGUGUUGAUUAUAGAGCCCUCAAUGCUCUUACUAUUAAGGACAAGUUUCUCAUUCCUACUGUAGAUGAAUUAUUGGGAGAACUUAAGGGGUCAGUUAUCAUUUCCAAACUCGAUUUGAGGUCAGGAUUCCAUCAAAUCCGGAUACAUCAUUCCCACACAGCAAAGACAGCCUUCAGGACACAUGAGGGGCAUUAUGAAUUUCUUGUGAUGCCUUUUGGGUUAUCCAAUGCACCGACGACAUUCCAGUCUGUCAUGAACAAUGUAUUCUCUGGUUAUCUUCGGAAGUUUGUGGUAGUCUUUUUUGAUGAUAUUCUUGUGUAUAACUCUUCUCUUGCAGACCACAAACUUCACCUGAAGAAGGUAUUUGAGAUUUUAAGAAAAAACGAGUUACUGGCCAAGCUUUCAAAAUGCUCCUUUGGCAAGAAAUCUAUAGGAUUCUUAGGACACAUAAUCGCGGCAGAUGGUGUCCACCCUGAUCCCGAAAAGGUCAAGGCUAUGGAAGAUUGGACAAUACCCAAGAACAUUAAAAGGCUAAGAGGAUUCCUUGGACUGACAGGGUAUUAUAGAAGAUUUGUCAAAGGCUACGCCCAAAUCGCUGCCCCUAUGACUGAUCUUUUGAAAAAGGAUAAUUUCAACUGGACUGACUUUGCAACAACUAGUUUUGAAAACUUGAAGAAGGCCAUGAUGACUGCCCCCGUGCUUGGAUUUCCAGACUUCUCAAAACAGUUCACUGUUGAGACUGAUGCUUCGAAAAAUGGAGUUGGAGCUGUUCUUAUCCAGGAAUCCCACUCUAUUUCUUUCUACGGUUGUAAGCUUUCUGGGAGAUUAAAUGCAGCCUCAGUCUAUGUGAAGGAGAUGUAUGCCAUCACCUAGGCAGUUAACAAGUGGAGGCAUUAUCUUCUUGGCUCCCAUUUUCUUAUCAAAACAGAUCACAAAAUCCUAAAGAACUUACUCACGCAAACCAUCCAAACACCGGAACAACAGGUAUUUUUUUGUAAGCUUUUGGGAUUUGAUUUCUCUAUAAUCUAUAAGCCAGGGAAGGAAAAUUUAGUGGCAGAUGCACUAUCAAGAUCAUUUGAGGAAGGGGAAGAAGAGGUGUUGUUCUCCAGCUGUUCUAAAGGAGAUCCUAGUUCUCUAUUGGCCCUUUCUAUGCCAGUUUAUUCCCUGUUAGAAGAAUUGAAAUCUGUUAAUUCCAAACACGCCACAGUUCAAAGUAUUUGUGCAAAAGUGGAAAAAAGAGAUAUAUCUGUAAGCGAAUUUGAAGUAAGAGGAGGGCAAUUAUUCUUCAAGGAUAGAUAUUAUGUAGCUGAAAACUUUUCUAUCAUACCCAAAAUUUUGUGGGAAUUUCAUGAUUCCAUCUUGGGAGGCCACAAUGGGGUGCAGAGAACCCAUAAGAGAAUAGCAAAACACUUCUUCUGACCCAAGAUGAAAAGGGAUGUUCAAGACUAUGUCACUAAAUGUGAGAUCUGCCAGAAAAUUAAACCUAUAAAUUACAAACCUCAUGGACUUCUGAUGCCACUUCCCAUUCCCUCGCAGGUGUGGCAAGAUAUUACUAUGGAUUUUAUCACUGAUUUACCCCUGGUAGAAGCAAAGUCUGUUAUUCUGGUGGUAGUCGAUAGACUAACGAAGUAUGCUCAUUUAAUUCCUCUACCAAGGAAAUUCAACGCUACAAUGGUGGCAGACGUAUUUGUCAGAGAGGUUAUCAAGCUACAUGGAAUACCUGCUUCUAUAGUUUCAGACAGGGACAAGGUAUUUACUUCCCACUUUUGGAAAGAGAUCCACCGACUCAGUGGAACUAAAUUAAAGUAUUCUUCCGCUUAUCACCCUGAAACUGAUGGACAGAGCAAAGUCACUAAUAGGGUCCUGAAAAUGUAUUUACGAUCUUAUUGCUUCCAAACUCCAAGGUUGUGGCUAAAACUCUUACCGUGGGAUGAACUAUGGUACAACUCUUCCUAUCACUCAUCUAUCAACAUGUCUCCUUUUAAGGCAUUAUAUGGAAGGAAAACUUAUGAAUAUAUUACCUCACUACAAGAAGGGCGAUACUAUUAUAGAUGCAGUUGAAACUGAUCUCCAGUUUAGAGAGGAGAACUUAGCAAAUCUGAAAAUUGAUAUGAUGAAAGCUCAGAAAAGAAUGAAAGACCAAGCAGACAACACACAGGUAUGCAUCUGAAUUCUCUUUAGGAGAAUGGGUACUAGUCAAAUUACAACCUUAUAGGCAACAAUCACUUGCACACAGGUUCAAUUUCAAGCUAAGCCAGAGAUUCUAUGACCCAUAUAAAAUUGCAAAACAAAUCAGUGGCACAGCAUACACGUUAGAAUUACCUGUGGGUAGCCGGAUACACCUUACAUUCCACAUUUCCCGUUUAAAGAUGUUCAAGGGCAGCACAGAAUCGAACAACCCACAAUCACCCUUGAUAUCAGUAGAAAACUAGCCAAUCUUAUACCCAUUGGCCGUGUUAGACGCGCGCACAAUUCUGCAGGGAGCCAAGAAUCAAAGGCAAUUACUAAUCUAAUGGGGAGGACUCUACCUGGGAGAACGUCGAGAGUCUACGACAGACAUGGCCGACUAUCAACUUUGAGGACAAGGUUGCUCUUGAAGGGGAGGAUGAUGAUAUACAACCGACCGGAGCUACUUUCACAGAUGAGGAGAUUACGAUGUUCACGGGAGGAAUGCUAGAAGCCGACGACAAGAUAAUGGAAGAGAGCAAGGACGAGAGGGAGUCGGGAUUGACACGAACCAACAAGCGAUCUUAGGUCACGCCCAGGUGGACAAAGGAUUAUGACUUAAGCGGACCCAAAGCGCGAUUCCGAAUAAUGGAUUGGGUUUCCUAAAUUUUCCUAAGUUUUUUCCCGCCGCAUCACAUUUUGUAAAAUCCCCAUUAACAUAACCGACUUAUGAAGCUAUAUAUUGCCAUACAUGUAACCUACUUUAGUAAGAAAUAUUUACAUGCAAUUUCACCGCCUCCA
rnacentral:lncRNA from 1 species